AGGUGGAGAGCAAGCCUCAACAUGGCAGCCUGAGAUGAUGGAUGCUGGGCAGGAGAGCCGUCAAGGUGCUACAUGCAGCCUCAGAGGGGUGGAGCUUCAUGCUGAGAAAUGGUUUGAGCGGCGCUGUGUGGGCUGCCUUUGCAAUGGGAAGAGCAGUUGAGGUGCCCCAGGUGAUGAUGGCUGCAGCAUUGGGUGUUUGAAUUGGGACGGAACAGAUGAUAAUCAAGAGGAACCUGGCAAUGCAGGAUCGUCCCAGUUAGCUGACUCGUUUUGAGCUUUUUCUGCCAGGGAUGGCUUCAGGCCUUUGGCCCUCUGAAAG